rnacentral:miRNA from 2 species
UGUGCUGGAUUCUCUUCCUGAA